rnacentral:lncRNA from 1 species
GGACACAAUACCUUUAUUUCACUUAUUUAUUUUUAUGUGGUGCUGAGGAUCGAACCCAGGGUCUCACACGUGUGAGGCGAGUGCUCUACCAAUGAACCACAACCCCAGCCCCACACUGUGUAUAUAUUUAUCUAUUUAUCUGUUGAUGGACACCUAAGCUGGUUCCAUAGUUUGGCUCUUGUGAAGUGUGCUGCUGUAAACAUGAGUAUGCCUAUAUUACUGUACUAUGAUGACUUUAAAUUCUUGAAGAUACCAUGGAGUGGUAUAUACCAUGGUAUAUACCAUAUAUACCAUGGUAUAUACGAUGAUGACUUUAAAUUCUUGAAGAUACCAUGGAGUGGUAUAGCUGAGUCAUAUGGUGGUUCCAUUCCUAGCCUUUUGAGGAAACCCUUACUGCUUUCCAUAGCAGUUGUUAUUAUUAUGUGUAUUCUUGAGAACUGCCAUUCUGACUAGUGUUGAGUUUUGAUUUGCAUUUCCCUAAUUGGUAAUGAUGUUGAAUAUUUUUUUCGUGUAUAUAUUGGCGAUUUGUAUUUCUUCUUUUGAGAAGUGUUUGUUGAGUUCAUUUGCCCAUUUAUUGAUUGCGUUAUUUGGUUUUUUGGUGUUUAGUCUUUUGAAUUAUUUAUAUACUCUGACUAUUAAUCGUCUGUUAGAAAAAUAGGCAAGAUUUUCCCCUGUUUUGUUGGUUCUCUUCACAUUCUUGUUUUGUUUGCUAUGCAGAAACUGUUUAAUUUGAUGCCAUCCCAUUUAUUACCCCUAAGCAUUAUUUCCUGAGCUUUAGGGUUACCAUUGAAUAAGUGGUUGCCUGUGCUAUAUAUUGGAGUAUUGAAAUGUUUUCUUCUAGGAGUUGGUUAGUUUUUGUUCUAAUUCCUACUUCUUUUGAUUCAUUUGAAUUGACUUUUGUACAGGACGAGAGAGGAUCUAAUCUCAUUUUUCUACACAUGGAUAUCAGUUUUCCAAGCAUCCUUUGUUAAAAAAAUUGUCUAUUCUCCAGUGUAUGUUUUUGGCAUUUUCAUCAAGGAUCAGAUGCCUGUAGAUGUGUAGGUUUACUUGAGUAUCUUCUGUACCAUUGGUCUAUGUGUCUGUUUUUAUAUGAGUACCAUGCAGUUUUUGAUUCCCAAGUAUUUUAUUGGUUUUUUUUGAGGCUAUUGUGAAUUGGGUAGUUUUCCUAAUUUCUCUUCCAGUGGCUUCUUUGCUUAUGUAUAGAAAUGCAUUUGGUUUAUGGGUAAUGAUUUUAUAUCCUGCUGAAUUCAUUUAUUCUAGAAGUUUUAUGGUAUUAGGCGUAGGGUCUUUGUUCUAGUGCCUAAGUCUUUGAUCCACUUUGAGUUGAUUUUAUGCAGGCUGAGAGUGAGAGAGGUUUAAUUUCAUUUUGUUUCAUGUAGAUUUCCAGUUUUCCCAGUCCCAUUUGUUGAAUGGGCUAUCUUUUCUCUAGUGUAUGUUUUCGAUGCCUGUGUCUAGUAUAAGAAAACCAUAUUUAUGAGGGUUUGUCUCUGUCUUCUAUUUUGUACCUUUGGUCUACAUUUCUAUUUUGGUGUUAAUAUCAUGCUGUUUUGUUGUUAUUGCUCUGUAGCAUAGUUUAAGGUCUGGUAUUGUGAUAUCUCUUGCUUCACUCUUCUUGUUAAGGAUGGCUUUGAUUUAUUCUGGGUCUCUUAUUUUUCCAAAUGAAUUUCAUGAUUGCUUUUUCUAGUUCUAUGAAGAAUGUCAUUGGGAUUUUAAUAGGAAUUGCAUUAAAUCUGUAAAACAGUUUUAGUAGGAUGGCCAUUUUGACAAUGUUAAUUUGCCUAUCAAAGAGCAUGGGAGAUCUUUCCAUCUUCUAAGGUCUUCUUCAAUUUCUUUCUUUAGUGUUCUGGAAUUUUCAUUGUAGAGGUCUUUCACCUCUUUUGUUAGAUUGAUUCCAAAGUAUUUUUUUUUUACCAUGCAAUUUUUGUUACUACAACCCUGUAGUAUAAUUUGAAGUCAGGUAUUGUAAUACCUCUAGCACUGCUUUUUGCCUUAGAAUUGCUUUGGUUAUUCUGGGUGUUUUAUUCUUCCAAAUGUAUUUUAGAACUAUUUUUUCUAGUUCUGUGAAGAAUAUUAUUGGUAUUUUUAUGGGGAUUGAAUUGAAUCUGUAAAUUGCUUUUGGUAUAAUAGCCAUUUUAAUAAUAAUAAUUCUGCCAAUCCAUGAAUAUGGAAGGUCUUUCCAUCGUGUGUCUUCUUCAGUUUAUUUCUCAAGUGUUCGAUAGAUUUCAUUGGAGAUAUCUUUCACCUCCUUAGUUAGAUUUAUUCCUAGUUUAUUUUUUGAGACUAUUGUGGAAAGGAUUGUUUUUCAGAUUUCUUUCUCUGUAGAUUCAUUACAGGUGUAUAGGAAAGCUAUUUAUUUUCAUACAUGAUUUUGUAACCUGCUCCUUUAGCUUUAGCUAUCUUCUGAAGCUUCUCUAAAUAUAGAAUCCUUUCUUUUGCCAAAGUGGUAAUCUAAAUACUUAUUUUGAAUUCAGGAGACAUCUGUGAAGACACCUUUUCUUAAUCCUUCAUGUUUUCUCAUCUCUGACUAUUAUGCUGUUGCUUCAAAGGUAAGUUACAUAAAUGUAUUUACAUGAUUCUUUAUUUUCUCUUUGUUCUAAAACAGUAACCAGUGAUUUCAAAUAGAUUAUGACAUCCAUAACCUAAAUCCAAACUUCUGAGUUUGUUUUUUUUGUUAGUGCUGGGAUUGAACCCAGGGUCUUGUGCAUGCUAGGCAAGCACUCUACCAACUGAG